AUGCACAUAGCUCAGCAGGUGAGUAUUUGCCUAGCAUUCACAAGGUCCUGGGUUUGAACCCCAGUGCUGUAUG
rnacentral:tRNA from 1 species